UACAGAGGUCCCGAGCGUUGUUCGGAUUCAUUGGGCGUAAAGGGUGCGUAGGCGGCUUCCUAAGUUUGAUGUGAAAUCCUGGGGCUCAACCCUGGAACUGCAUUGAAUACUGGGAGGCUAGAGUACUGGAGAGGAAACUGGAAUUUACGGUGUAGCAGUGAAAUGCGUAGAGAUCGUAAGGAAGACCAGUGGCGAAGGCGAGUUUCUGGACAGUUACUGACGGCUGAGGCAACGAAGGCCCAGGGAGCAAACGGG
rnacentral:rRNA from 1 species